UAUUACUCUAAUUGAAAAAAAACAAGAGAUUUAUUUUGUUCCUCCUACAUAUAGCCACUAUCGAAGUAAGUUUUUUUUUGUUAUCAAAAGUAUUUUUCAUAAUAAGUGGGAAUGAUAUUAAUAUUUAAAAAAAAAAAAAACUAUUUUUUUUUCAAUUGCAGCGAAACGAUUUUAUUAUUUUAAAUGUUUACGGGUCAUGUUUUCUAGAAAAAAUAUAUUGCUUCAAAAGGAAAACGACAAUGGACCUUUCUAGAUGAACUUUUAAUAUGGUUUAGGUAUAAGUAAUUUGUUUUUUUUAUUUUUCUGGCAGUUCAUGUAAUAACUAAGCAAAACUCAGAAAUUACGCAGAUUGUACAGU